AACGCUAGCUACAGGCUUAACACAUGCAAGUCGAGGGGAAACGACAUCGAAAGCUUGCUUUUGAUGGGCGUCGACCGGCGCACGGGUGAGUAACGCGUAUCCAACCUGCCCAUCACUUGGGGAUAACCUUGCGAAAGUAAGACUAAUACCCAAUGAUAUCUCUAGAAGACAUCUGAAGGAGAUUAAAGAUUUAUCGGUGAUGGAUGGGGAUGCGUCUGAUUAGCUUGUUGGCGGGGUAACGGCCCACCAAGGCGACGAUCAGUAGGGGUUCUGAGAGGAAGGUCCCCCACAUUGGAACUGAGACACGGUCCAAACUCCUACGGGAGGCAGCAGUGAGGAAUAUUGGUCAAUGGGCGAGAGCCUGAACCAGCCAAGUAGCGUGCAGGAUGACGGCCCUAUGGGUUGUAAACUGCUUUUAUAAGGGAAUAAAGUGAGAGUCGUGACUCUUUUUGCAUGUACCUUAUGAAUAAGGACCGGCUAAUUCCGUGCCAGCAGCCGCGGUAAUACGGAAGGUCCGGGCGUUAUCCGGAUUUAUUGGGUUUAAAGGGAGCGUAGGCCGGAGAUUAAGCGUGUUGUGAAAUGUAGACGCUCAACGUCUGCACUGCAGCGCGAACUGGUUUCCUUGAGUACGCACAAAGUGGGCGGAAUUCGUGGUGUAGCGGUGAAAUGCUUAGAUAUCACGAAGAACUCCGAUUG
rnacentral:rRNA from 1 species